UACGGAGGGUGCAAGCGUUAAUCGGAAUUACUGGGCGUAAAGCGCACGUAGGCGGUUUUCUAAGUCAGAUGUGAAAUCCUCGGGCUUAACCUGGGAACUGCACCUGAUACUGGAAGACUAGAAUGUGGGAGAGGAGAGUGGAAUUUCCGGUGUAGCGGUGAAGUGCAUAGAGAUCGGAAGGAACACCAGUGGCGAAGGCGGCUCUCUGGACCAACAUUGACGCUGAGGUGCGAAAGCGUGGGUAGCAAACAGG
rnacentral:rRNA from 1 species